UUCGGCUGUUCAAGAACAUUAUAUUUUUUCAUCAGUUAAUGUUAACUUACUUUCAAUGUUUUUUUUUAGUCUUUUAUUGGUUUUAACAUUGGUUAGAGGUAUAGGGGAGGGUUGAGAUCUCACAAACAUGUUUAACCUCCGCCGCAUUUUUGCGCCUGUCCAAAGUCUGGAGCCUCUGGCCUUUGUUAGUCUUGCAUUAUUUUAAUUUUAGUUUCUUGUGUACAAUUUGUAAAUAAGUAUGGACGUUCAUUAUCACUGGACUAGUAAAAAU
rnacentral:lncRNA from 1 species